AGGGGUUUGAUCCUGGCUCAGAACGAACGUUGGCAGCGUGGAUUAGGCAUGCAAGUCGAACGGGAAGUCUCGGAUUCAAUCCUUCGGGAGAGAAAUCGAGACGGAGAGUGGCGAAAGGGUGAGUAACGCGUGGGCAAUUUGCCUUCAAGUCUGGGAUAACCUCGCGAAAGCGAAGCUAAUACCGGAUGUGAUUUUCCGUCGCAUGGCGGGACAAUUAAAGGCGGGGAUCUUUCGAGACCUGUCGCUUGAUGAGAAGCCCGCGUCUGAUUAGCUUGUUGGUGGGGUAAAGGCCUACCAAGGCUGUGAUCGGUAGCGGGUCUGAGAGGAUGAUCCGUCACACUGGGACUGAGACACUGCCCAGACUCCUACGGGAGGCUGCAGUCGAGAAUCGUUUGCAAUGCGCGAAAGCGUGACAAUGCGACGCUGCGUGGAGGAUGAAGGCCUUCGGGUUGUAAACUCCUGUCAUGAGGAAACAAAGAUCACCGCCUAAUACGUGGAUGGUCCUGAUAUUACCUCAAGAGGAAGUCACGGCUAACUCUGUGCCAGCAGCCGCGGUAAUACAGAGGUGGCGAACGUUGUUCGGAUUUACUGGGCGUAAAGGGUGCGUAGGUGGACCAGUGUGUCGGGUGUGAAAUCCCACGGCUCAACCGUGGAACUGCAUUCGAAACUGCUGGUCUUGAGUACAGGAGGGGAGAGCGGAAUUCUUGGUGUAGCGGUGAAAUGCGUUGAUAUCAAGAGGAACACCGGUGGCGAAGGCGGCUCUCUGGACUGU
rnacentral:rRNA from 1 species